rnacentral:rRNA from 1 species
AACGAACGCUGGCGGCGUACUUAACACAUGCAAGUCGAACGAGAAAGGGGACUUCGGUUCCUGAGUAAAGUGGCGUACGGGUGCGUAACACGUGAGUAAUCUACCCCAGACUCUGGGAUAACGUCUCGAAAGGGGCGCUAAAACCGGAUAGGGUCCUUGAGGCAAAAGCUGCGAGGGGAAAAUGUGCCUUUAUAAGGCACAUGGCCUGGGAUGAGCUUGCGGCCCAUUAGCUAGUUGGUAGGGUAAUAGCCACCAAGGCAACGAUGGGUAGCUGGUCUGAGAGGAUGAUCAGCCACACCGGCACUGAGACACGGGCCAGACUCCUACGGGAGGCAGCAGUGGGGAAUUUUGCGCAAUAGGCGAAAGCCUGACGCAGUAACGCCGCGUGGAGGAUGAAGGCC